GAAGUCCUUGUCCGUACCCUGAUGCACUGAUAGUCCUUGGCUGGGACACCCAGUAACUUACAGCUGGUUUCUCAAAACUGAUUAUUUGACAUUUUUGUCUGGCUGAGGCAUUUGCUCAAGGUUGAAGUUCUGCUUGAAGUUCUGCUUAUCUACAACAAACAUACUGGGAGAUUGGACAAUUGACAGCUUGGGGACCCCACCAACCAGCCCCAGCUCACUCCUCCUGCUACUAGAGGCAGCGGCAAAGACAGAGCUGCAAACUGAGUGAAAACAGAAAGAGGCAAGGCAGUAGAAGUGGGGGGGGACCACAACACAGGUUACAACCUGAGGAUUACAGUGCUCUGGUG
rnacentral:lncRNA from 1 species